rnacentral:tRNA from 2 species
GCACCUGUAGCUCAGUUGGAUAGAGCAUCGGAUUUCUAAUCCGAGUGCCGCAGGUUCGAGUCCUGCCAGGUGCG